rnacentral:rRNA from 1 species
GACGAACGCUGGCGGCGUGCCUAAUACAUGCAAGUAGAACGCUGAAGGAGGAGCUUGCUUCUCUGGAUGAGUUGCGAACGGGUGAGUAACGCGUAGGUAACCUGCCUGGUAGCGGGGGAUAACUAUUGGAAACGAUAGCUAAUACCGCAUAAGAGUAGAUGUUGCAUGACAUUUGCUUAAAAGGUGCAAUUGCAUCACUACCAGAUGGACCUGCGUUGUAUUAGCUAGUUGGUGGGGUAACGGCUCACCAAGGCGACGAUACAUAGCCGACCUGAGAGGGGGGUCGGACACACUGGGGCUGGGACAAGGCCCAGACUCCUACGGGAGGGAGCAGUAGGGGAUCUUCGGCAAUGGACGGAAGUCUGACCGAGAAACGCCGCGUGAGUGAAGGAGGUUUUCGGAUCGUAAAGCUCUGUUGUAAGAGAAGAACGAGUGUGAGAGUGGAAAGUUCACACUGUGACGGUAUCUUACCAGAAAGGGACGGCUAACUACGUG